rnacentral:rRNA from 1 species
GACGAACGCUGGCGGCGUGCUUAACACAUGCAAGUCGAACGGAAAGGCCCUGCUUUUGUGGGGUGCUCGAGUGGCGAACGGGUGAGUAACACGUGAGUAACCUGCCCUUGACUUUGGGAUAACUUCAGGAAACUGGGGCUAAUACCGGAUAGGAGCUCCUGCUGCAUGGUGGGGGUUGGAAAGUUUCGGCGGUUGGGGAUGGACUCGCGGCUUAUCAGCUUGUUGGUGGGGUAGUGGCUUACCAAGGCUUUGACGGGUAGCCGGCCUGAGAGGGUGACCGGCCACAUUGGGACUGAGAUACGGCCCAGACUCCUACGGGAGGCAGCGGUGGGGAAUAUUGCACAAUGGGCGGAAGCCUGAGGCAGCAGCGCCGCGUGCGGGAUGACGGCCUUCGGGUUGUAAACCGCUUUCGCCUGUGACGAAGCGUGAGUGACGGUAAUGGGUAAAGAAGCACCGGCUAACUACGUG